rnacentral:rRNA from 1 species
UACGUAGGGUGCAAGCGUUUGUCCGGAAUUAUUGGGCGUAAAGGGCUCGUAGGCGGUUUGUCGCGUCGGGAGUGAAAACCAGGUGCUUAACACCUGGCUUGCUUUCGAUACGGGCAGACUAGAGGUAUUCAGGGGAGAACGGAAUUCCUGGUGUAGCGGUGAAAUGCGCAGAUAUCAGGAGGAACACCGGUGGCGAAGGCGGUUCUCUGGGAAUGACCUGACGCUGAGGAGCGAAAGUGUGGGGAGCGAACAGG